rnacentral:rRNA from 1 species
ACGGCUCAGUAACACGUCGGUAACCUACCCUCGGGAGGGGGAUAGCCCCGGGAAACUGGGGCUAAUUCCCCAUAGGCCUGAGGUACUGGAAGGUCCUCAGGCCGAAAGGGACUUAUGUCCGCCCGAGGAUGGGCCGGCGGCCGAUUAGGUAGUUGGUGGGGUAAUGGCCCACCAAGCCGAAGAUCGGUACGGGCUGUGAGAGCAGGAGCCCGGAGAUGGACACUGAGACACGGGUCCAGGCCCUACGGGGCGCAGCAGGCGCGAAACCUCCGCAAUGCGGGAAACCGCGACGGGGGGACCCCGAGUGCCGUGGCAACGCCACGGCUUUUCCGGAGUGUAAAAAGCUCCGGGAAUAAGGGCUGGGCAAGGCCGGUGGCAGCCGCCGCGGUAAUACCGGCGGCCCGAGUGGUGGCCGCUAUUAUUGGGCCUAAAGCGUCCGUAGCCGGGCCCGUAAGUCCCUGGCGAAAUCCCACGGCUCAACCGUGGGGCUUGCUGGGGAUACUGCGGGUCUUGGGACCGGGAGAGGCGGGGGGCACCCCUGGGGUAGGGGUGAAAUCCUAUAAUCCCAGGGGGACCGCCAGUGGCGAAGGCGCCCCGCUGGAACGGGUCCGACGGUGAGGGACGAAGGCCAGGGGAGCAAACCGGAUUAGAUACCCGGGUAGUCCUGGCUGUAAAGGAUGCGGGCUAGGUGUCGGGUGAGCCUCGAGCUCGCCCGGUGCCGUAGGGAAGCCGUUAAGCCCGCCGCCUGGGGAGUACGGCCGCACGGCUGAAACUUAAAGGAAUUGGCGGGGGAG